rnacentral:rRNA from 1 species
UGGGGAAUUUUGGACAAUGGGGGAAACCCUGACCCAGCAACGCCGCGUGAAGGAUGAAGUAUUUCGGUAUGUAAACUUCGAAAGAAUAGGAAGAAUAAAUGACGGUACUAUUUAUAAGGUCCGGCUAACUACGUGCCAGCAGCCGCGGUAAUACGUAGGGACCAAGCGUUGUUCGGAUUUACUGGGCGUAAAGGGCGCGUAGGCGGCAUGACAAGUCACUUGUGAAAUCUCUGGGCCUAACCCAGAACGGCCAAGUGAUACUGUCGCGCUAGAGUGCAGAAGGGGCAAUCGGAAUUCUUGGUGUAGCGGUGAAAUGCGUAGAUAUCAAGAGGAACACCUGAGGUGAAGACGGGUUGCUGGGCUGACACUGACGCUGAGGCGCGAAAGCCAGGGGAGCAAACGGGAUUAGAUACCCGUGUAGUCCCUGAGCGGGCUGGCAAGGCGCAU